GCCGGAGUGGUGGAACUGGUAGACGCAGGGGACUCAAAAUCCCCCGGUCCUCGCGACCAUGAGGGUUCGAUUCCCUCCUCCGGCACCA
rnacentral:tRNA from 1 species